rnacentral:rRNA from 1 species
UACGUAGGGGGCUAGCGUUAUCCGGAAUUACUGGGCGUAAAGGGUGCGUAGGUGGUUUCUUAAGUCAGAGGUGAAGGGCUACGGCUCAACCGUAGUAAGCCUUUGAAACUGGGGAACUUGAGUGCAGGAGAGGAGAGUGGAAUUCCUAGUGUAGCGGUGAAAUGCGUAGAUAUUAGGAGGAACACCAGUUGCGAAGGCGGCUCUCUGGACUGUAACUGACACUGAGGCACGAAAGCGUGGGGAGCAAACAGG